rnacentral:rRNA from 1 species
AUUCCAGCUCCAAUAGCGUAUAUUAAAGUUGUUGCAGUUAAAAAGCUCGUAGUUGGAUUUCUGGUGGGGACGUUUGGCCGGCCGUAACGGUUUGCGCUGAAAUGUUCUUCGCCAUCCUUGACGAAUACUGGUUCGCCAUUAAGUUGUGUGGGCUUGGAGUCGUCAUCGUUUACUGUGAAAAAAUUAGAGUGUUCAAAGCAGGCUUAUGCCGUUGAAUACAUUAGCAUGGAAUAAUAAGAUAGGACCCUGGUACUAUUUUGUUGGUUUGCGUACCUAGGUAAUGAUUAAUAGGGACAGUUGGGGGUAUUUGUAUUCCGUUGUCAGAGGUGAAAUUCUUGGAUUUACGGAAGACAAACUACUGCGAAAGCAUUUACCAAGGAUGUUUUCAUUG